CCUCUCCCUGCAUGCUUCCAUUGAUUUUUUAUUUCAUUCCAAUCGAUUUGUCGUGAUAUAUGCAAUGCAGGAUGGUCGGCAUGUACAAGAUAUGCUUAAGGUGAGGUUGCAAUUCAGGAUGUGCAUAUAUUUCUUGGGCUUGAAUUUGUUUAAUCUAAAUAGAUUAUUUUUUAUCCAAUCCAAAUUUCCAAUGACUUGCCAUAUCAUUAGCAUCAGAGGCUCCAUAAAGCAGCUCUGCUGGGAUUAACGGAUUCACUGUCAAGGUCAAACAUCACUAUGAUAUUGCUGAGAUGGUCCAAUCAGUGACAAUG
rnacentral:lncRNA from 1 species